rnacentral:rRNA from 1 species
GGAAUUUUGCGCAAUGGGGGAAACCCUGACGCAGCAACGCCGCGUGAUUGAAGAAGCCCUUCGGGGUGUAAAGAUCUGUCAGUGGGGACGAAGAAAUGACGGUACCCACAGAGGAAGCACCGGCUAACUCCGUGCCAGCAGCCGCGGUAAUACGGAGGGUGCGAGCGUUGUCCGGAAUCAUUGGGCGUAAAGCGUUCGUAGGCGGCAUAUCAAGUCUGGUGUUAAAGGCAGAUGCUCAACAUUUGUAGGGCACCGGAUACUGGUAAGCUAGAAUGCGGUAGAGGUUAAGGGAAUUCCUGGUGUAGCGGUGAAAUGCGUAGAUAUCAGGAGGAACACCGGUGGCGUAAGCGCUUAACUGGGCCAUAAUUGACGCUGAGGAACGAAAGCCGGGGGAGCAAAUG